UCAUGGAGACAUUGUUAAUGAUCACAGAGACAGCGUCUAUGAUCUCAGAGACAUCGUCCACGAUCACAAAGACACUGUCCGCGAUCACAGAGACUUUGUCCAUAAUCUCAGAGACAUUGUCCGCGAUCACAGAGACGUAGUCCACGAUCACAGAGAGUGUUUGAACAAUGAAGAAGUUCUUUGAGACCAGGACAGAGGCCUCCAGGUGUCACCACUUCGUCCUCGAUCACAGAGACAUGGUCCACGAUCGCAGAGACAUGGUCCAUGAUCGGAGAGACGUUGUUGAGGAUGAGGGAGACAUCGUCCACGAUCAGAGACAUUGUCCGUGAUCGCAGAGACCUUGUCAAAGAUGAGAGAGACGUUGUCCUUGAUCAGAGACAUUGUCCCAUGCUUCGUAGAGACCUUGCGAUAGAAUCGGCGGAGACGGGGGUCACCGAUUUGACGGCACUGCCCGCGAUCAUGGAGACAUUGUCGAUGGUCACAGAGACAGCGUCUAUGAUCUCAGAGACAUCGUCCACGAUCACAAAGACACUGUCCAUGAUCAGAGACUUUGUCCAUAAUCUCAGAGACAUUGUCCGCGAUCACAGAGACGUAGUCCACGAUCACAGAGAGUGUUUGAACAAUGAAGAAGUUCUUUGAGACCAGAACUGAGGCCUCCAGGUGUCACCACUUCGUCCACCACAUCGUCCACGAUCACAGAGACAUGGUCCACGAUCGCAGAGACAUGGUCCAUGAUCGGAGAGACGUUGUUGAGGAUGAGGGAGACAUCGUCCACGAUCAGAGACAUUGUCCGUGAUCGCAGAGACCUUGUCAAAGACGAGAGAGGCGUUGUCCUUGAUCAGAGACAUUGUCCCAUGCUUCGUAGAGACCUUGCGAUAGAAUCGGCGGAGACGGGGGUCACCGAUUUGACGGCACUGCCCGCGAUCAUGGAGACAUUGUUAAUGAUCACAGGAGACAGCGUCUAUGAUCUCAGAGACAUCGUCCACGAUCACAAAGACACUGUCCGCGAUCACGGAGACUUUGUCCAUAAUCUCAGAGACAUUGUCCGCGAUCACAGAGACGUAGUCCACGAUCACAGAGAGUGUUUGAACAAUGAAGAAGUUCUUUGAGACCAGAACUGAGGCCUCCAGGUGUCACCACUUCGUCCUCGAUCACAGAGACAUGGUCCACGAUCGCAGAGACAUGGUCCAUGAUCGGAGAGACGUUGUUGAGGAUGAGGGAGACAUCGUCCACGAUCAGAGACAUUGUCCGUGAUCGCAGAGACCUUGUCAAAGAUGAGAGAGACGUUGUCCUUGAUCAGAGACAUUGUCCCAUGCUUCGUAGAGACCUUGCGAUAGAAUCGGCGGAGACGGGGGUCACCGAUUUGACGGCACUGCCCGCGAUCAUGGAGACAUUGUCGAUGGUCACAGAGACAGCGUCUAUGAUCUCAGAGACAUCGUCCACGAUCACAAAGACACUGUCCAUGAUCAGAGACUUUGUCCAUAAUCUCAGAGACAUUGUCCGCGAUCACAGAGACGUAGUCCACGAUCACAGAGAGUGUUUGAACAAUGAAGAAGUUCUUUGAGACCAGAACUGAGGCCUCCAGGUGUCACCACUUCGUCCACCACAUCGUCCACGAUCACAGAGACAUGGUCCACGAUCGCAGAGACAUGGUCCAUGAUCGGAGAGACGUUGUUGAGGAUGAGGGAGACAUCGUCCACGAUCAGAGACAUUGUCCGUGAUCGCAG